GCUUGCUCCUGGUCCGCAUAUGUUUCGAGAAGAAAGUAAGAUACGGUGUUCGCCAAGAAAUGGCCUUAAGUGUUGCUCUGUCAAAGAUAGAGGAUAAGUGGAAGGAAGAGCUUGAUCAAGAACUGGAAAGAAAGCGCACAAGUUAAGUCUGCACGUACUUGUGGAUUAAGAUUGCACAUGACUUAUGUUUUUGUAUUUCAUUUUUGUAUUUUGUUGUGUUGUGGAUUAAGAACAUAUGACUUCGUAUUUUUGUAAA